ACUCCUACGGGAGGCAGCAGUGAGGAAUAUUGGACAAUGGGCGGGAGCCUGAUCCAGCCAUGCCGCGUGCAGGAAGACUGCCCUAUGGGUUGUAAACUGCUUUUAUACGGGGAAGAAACACUCCCUCGUGAGGGAAUUUGACGGUACCGUAAGAAUAAGGAUCGGCUAACUCCGUGCCAGCAGCCGCGGUAAUACGGAGGAUCCAAGC
rnacentral:rRNA from 1 species